GACGAACGCUGGCGGCGUGCCUAAUACAUGCAAGUCGAACGCAGUGGGGAAGGGUGAGUCACACGUGGGUAACCUCCCCAUCAGCGGUGCUAACACUUGGACAAAGGUGCUAACCCCAUACUUAUGGAUGGCAUCGCGGUGAAUGAGCUAGUUGGUGAGGUAAUGGCUCACCAAGGCCACGAUGGAUAGCCGACCUGAGAGUGUGAUCGGCCACACGGGGACUGAGACACGGCCCAGACUCCUACGGGAGGCAGCAGUAGGGAAUCUUCGGCAAUGGACGAAAGUCUGACCGAGCAACGCCGCGUGAGUGAAGAAGGUUUUCGGAUCGUAAAACUCUGUUGUUAGAGAAGCGGUAUCUAACCAGAAAGCCACGGCUAACUACGUGCCAGCAGCCGCGGUAAUUC
rnacentral:rRNA from 1 species